rnacentral:tRNA from 1 species
UCCUCCACAGCUCAGUGGUUAGAGCGUCCAACCGGCACCUGGAAGGUCAUGGGUUCGAUUCCCGUUGGGGAGAU